rnacentral:rRNA from 1 species
GGGAGGUAGUGACAAUAAAUAACAAUACAGGGUCCUCAUGGGUCUUGUAAUUGGAAUGAGUACAAUUUAAAUCUCUUAACGAGGAACAAUUGGAGGGCAAGUCUGGUGCCAGCAGCCGCGGUAAUUCCAGCUCCAAUAGCGUAUAUUAAAGUUGUUGCAGUUAAAAAGCUCGUAGUUGAAUUUCGGGAUCAACACCAUCGGUCGUGCCUCCGGUGCGCACUGGGGUCGUUGGUUCCUCCCUUCUGAGGAGCCAUGAUGCCAUUAACUUGGUGUGGUGGGGAAUCAGGACUGUUACCUUGAAAAAUUAGAGUGUUUAAAGCAGGCAGUCGCUUGAAUACAUUAGCAUGGAAUAAUGAAAUAGGACGUCCGAACCUAUUUUGUUGGUUUCUAGGAUCAACGUAAUGAUUAAUAGGGAUAGUUGGG